rnacentral:tRNA from 1 species
GGGUACAUAGCUCAGUGGUAGAGCGCUUCGUUCACAUCGAAGAGGUCUUUGGUUCAAAUCCAAAUGUACCCA